GUCCACGCCGUAAACGAUGUCUACUAGCCGUUGGGAGACUUGAUUUCUUAGUGGCGCAGCUAACGCUUUAAGUAGACCGCCUGGGGAGUACGGCCGCAAGGUUAAAACUCAAAUGAAUUGACGGGGGCCCGCACAAGCGGUGGAGCAUGUGGUUUAAUUCGAUGCAACGCGAAGAACCUUACCAGGUCUUGACAUCCUCGGAACUAUCCAGAGAUGGAUGGGUGCCUUCGGGAACCGAGAGACAGGUGCUGCAUGGCUGUCGU
rnacentral:rRNA from 1 species